AGAGUUUGAUCAUGGCUCAGGACGAACGCUGGCGGCGCGCCUAACACAUGCAAGUCGAACGGAGCUGAGAGGAGCUUGCUUUUCUUAGCUUAGUGGCGAACGGGUGAGUAACGCGUGAGUAACCUGCCCUGGGGUGGGGGACAACAGUUGGAAACGACUGCUAAUACCGCAUAAGCCCACGGAUCCGCAUGGAUCUGCGGAAAGGAAUUAUUCGCUUCAGGA
rnacentral:rRNA from 1 species